UACGUAGGUGGCAAGCGUUGUCCGGAUUUAUUGGGUUUAAAGGGUGCGUAGCGGCCGCCUAAGUCAGUUGUGAAAUACCCCGGCUCAACCGGGGGGGGUCGGGCGAGACUGUCGGGCUGGAGGCGGGUAGGGGGCAGCGGAAUUCCCGGUGUAGUGGUGGAAUGCGUAGAUAUCGGGAGGAACACCAGUGGCGAAGGCGGCUGCCCUGGACCCGGCCUGACGCUGAGGCGCGAAAGCGUGGGGAGCGAUCCGG
rnacentral:rRNA from 1 species